AAUAAUAAUAAUAAUAAUAAUAAUAAUAAUAAUAAUAAUAAUAAUAAUAAUAAUAAAUAAGAGAAUAACAAGAAAUGAUAAUAACAAGAGGCCUCGUGAGUCUGUCUGAGGUGUUCCCCUGAUGGUCGUAAAGUAGGACUUGUUAUCACCCUUACGUAAAGUCUUCCCUCACACCCUCAAUGAAAACUGUAGUUGUAAUUGUUUUCAGUGUUGAGGACAGACCGACAGACAGACAGAUAGAAACACAGAUAGACAGACAGACAGACAGACAAAUGAGCAGACAAAUAAGGGCAGUAUAGUAAGAGUGGUAAUAGCAGUAGCAGGAGUAGUAGCAGCAGUUGUAGUGUUAAUAGUGGUAGCAGCAGGACAACAACAACAACAACAACAACAACAACAACAAAAACAAAAUUCUGCUACAGUAUUAGCUUUAAUGAUGUACUCAUAUAACCAUUCAGCACACUCAUUAUUCACACUUCAGGCAACACCUUCCUUCUGAUGCAAACUCACAGGCAGCGCUAAAUGUUUGUGGACUUGUUUUGUUUACAUUUAUUUUUACCCACUAUGGAAAUAUUUUUACUGCUCUUGAUUUAUACAAUAUGUUAAAAAAAAAAUCGUUUGUUGGGUGAAAGUUUGUAAUCCUCAACUGCCAGUGAAAAAAAAAAAAUGGUUGGCAUAAAUGAAACACACAUGAAAUAUUUGUAAAUCUGUGUGUAUCUCGUAGCGGAAUUGUAUUGUAUUUAUUUGAUUUAUAAUUGAAUCUACUAAUAAGCAUAUUUUUGGUAAAUUAAAAUUCUGAAUUAAAGAAAAUAGUGCGCGUGACUCGUCCAGACCUGAAGUGUUUCCCGUGUGACGGCUGGGAAAUGCCAUCACUGAGAGGGAAAUGUGAACAAGUGGACAGCUGAGGUGUUAGUGUCUUCUCCAUAUUGGCACCGCGACUUUUACAGUACACAUAUACUACUUACAAACUGUACUCCAUAUCUGCUGUUUUUGUUUCCGUGUAUGGUUUCCGCUUUUAUAUCGGAAUGAAAAAAAAAGAUGGUGAAAAAAAACAAAAAACAAAGAAAAACUGGAGGGAAGGAAAUAUAUUUUACUAAAUGGAAUCUGUACAGUACCGCCCAGUCAUAUAUUUGUUAUAUUUUAUUUUCUAGUUGAACAGUGCAGUUUUCAAAGUUCUGGACGAGUUGCCGGAAAUAGAAUUGCAGAAAACUUGGUGAAGGUAAUGUGGUCAUUACUCUGUUACAUGUCAAUGGAGACACACACAAUGUGGAUGUAUUAAUGUAUCAGCAUCAGUAGUAGUAGUGUAGGCUACUUUUCUUUAAAAUCGUUACUAGCGAAAUUCUCAGCGAUACUCAUCAGUAAUGGUGAAGUUCCCAUUUCUUGCACUUGAUCAUUAUUUUGCUUCAAGUGGCACCGCAGUGCAGUGUGUCUAAAGCACAUACGCACUUUCAGUUGUCUGAAUGCGAUCAGUUCUUUAGUUGCAAUGCAAAACCAAAAGGGGCACAUUCUCGUCCAUCCGUGUUUUGUGACCCCUGACUGCAAUGAGGGCCUCCCGUAAUGAACGUUAUACAAGUGUGCUGAUGGAGAGUUGAGUGAUUGCUCUGGGAUUAAUGGUUGCGCGAGACGAUUGUAUAACAGCAUCAAACUCACUCGCCAUUAAUAUCGCGCACCGAGAGGGAUGACGUCACGAGAGAGGGGAGAGGGAGGGCAGCAGAGCGCAGGGAGUGGGUUUGUGACAGAUGGGAUGCGAUUAACUGUUGCUCCAAUAUUGUUUUUGUGUUGGCAUGUGUUUUGUUGGUGAAGGAGGGACGCCAGUACACGGUUCAGAGUUACGCGGUCUGGGGACGGAAGUGUAUCCGUAGGAAACUAGGUCACCAUGCCACGGUGCCUUUUUUUUUUUUUUUUUUUUGCCAUGUACUCUAAGAAUAAAAGUGUAAAGCAGUGAUGUAUCAUUAUCGAGGCGCACAAAAAUCGCGCUCUGUAAUUUGAAAAUAAUAAGAUGUCAUUAGCAUUUUUUUUUCUUGGUUCGCGUGCGUGCGUGUGUGCGUGCCUGCGUACAAUCACGGACUGUACUUCACUAACCUUUUUUUUUUUGUCUUUUCCAUAUUUUUAUUUAUUUAUUUAUUUAUUUUAUCUUUUUAUUUAUUCUUUUUUCUUUUUUUGCAACAGUAUUUUCCCCACCGUCUGAACAACCAGCCUUUUGCAGUGUCCUUAUUUUCUUAUUCUUAUGAUCUUAUUACCAUUUAACAUUAUUCUUCUCUCUUACUAUUACCAACUUUUUUUUUUUUUAUACGUAUCACCAUUUGAUUAUUUUCUAAGAUUACUGGUUGCCGAAUAGUCGUUAUAUUACUACUUUACUACUUUUUAGAAUCAUCAUUACCGCCUGACUUUUUGUGUAUUUUUGUUCUUACUAUUACCCUCUUAACUUUACUUUACUUAUCACCACUUAACUUUUCCAUGUACACUUAAGAAUACAAGAAAACAGAGGAAGCUGCAAGAAGCCGUCAGGCCUACGUACAUGUGGCAGUCUCUUGGUGGUAUUCCCGUCUCACAACAUCUAAAACUUAGCAGAUCCAAGGUACCUCGAGACCUCCCUUGGACCUAUCCCUUGCGACAUAAAUAGGGAUGAUAUCGUCAUUUAUGCAUAAUGAAGUGCUUGUAUAUUUUCAUUGGUGUAUAAUACGUGAAUUUCAGUCCCUCUCCACCCGUAUAUGAGGAAAUAUUUAAAGAUACAACUAUGUUUACAAGACUUUAGUGUAGAAGUGAAGAAAUAAGGUGGUUUUCCUAAAGGGUAUCACGUUUAUUUACAGCGUAAAGUAUGUUGUUAAAGAAAACGUAUGAGCGAGAAUUAUGUGAUUAGAAUGAGGUACAUUUUGUUUAUUUAUAAGUGGAAGUAGAAGAACUACGAAAUAUUCUAUUUUGAUUAUUUAUAAGUGGAAAUAGAGGAACUGCGAAAUAUUCGGUAUCUCAAGCUAUACGCUCUUCACACGGAAGAAGCGGCACCACCGCGUGUUCCAACAAUGUCGUCAGCUGAUGCCUGGUCCACCUUCUUAUCAACUCGCCUUCUGUCGUCCUUAUUUCGUACAUGAGAGCAGCCGAUCAAGAUAUAUAGUUUGGAAGGCCGCCAGCCAGCGCCCACCAGCGGCCCCAGUGCGCCUUGUGCCUUCACUUGCGGCGUCCCCUCUCCCCUAUCCUCCUCAAAGUCCUUCAGCAUGUCAGGAUUCCAGGGUGAUCCAGAGCGCCUUCCUGCACGCCUUCCAGCACUGCAGUCAAAACACCGCGGGCAGGAGGCUUCCGCUUCACGUCUUUGUGGGCAUCAUCAGUAUGGCGGAUGCCUUCAAGAUCUCCAGACUGAGUGGUAACACGGAGAGCAAGUGGAAGAAACCUUGGGAGACUUCCAUGACUCAGGAACAAUCACACCUCACUGGGAGCCUUGUGACUGACAGGUGGUUCAGACCGACUGGGAGACAUGACGUCAGUGCCACCACGCAGGGAGUAAAACCAAGAGGAGGAAGAAGAGCAUUCAUGAGACAUCAGCUGGUCAGCAGUCCAUUCAGUUUGUGGCCCUGAUUUGUAAGUGCCAGGAAGACCAUGGUGAAGGCAGCCCACAAACCUUCCGUUGGACAUGAGUGGUGAACGGCAGUGAAAAUAUGGCAGUAUCUGAUUCUUUGCACCAAAACACAGUGUGCUUAUUAACAGAUUUAUUCACUGUUCACUCAUUUGCUCAUCUCUAAAGGAGUGAAGAGUGUGCACUGAAUUUCACAACAGGAAGUGAAGGAUGAAGCAUGAAGGUUUUAGGCCAAAAUGAACAGACAGCAAUCAGGAAUGACACGUCCAGCAAAACCGGCAACACAGCAGUGAGUGUGCAUGCUGGUACGUCAGGUCAGGGGUGAAGUGUUUGGAUUGUGGGCUAAAAUGGCUUGCUUAUACAUGAAUAUCUUUCACACUGGAGGAGCUGGGGUGUGUGUGUGUGUGUGUGUCAGGGGUGUUUGGGUGUUGAUAGGCUUGUUUGUAGGUGUUUCCACCUGCUUAUCAUCCAUUUUAGUUGUUCUUCGCUCUUUCAUCUUCCCUCUGUCAUUCAUUUUAUCUAUUUUUCAUUAUUAGUGUACAGUCUUUGCCUCUGUCACCUCCUCUAAUAUUUAUCCAGCCCUUCCUUGUCUCUGCAUAUCUAGUCCUUUGCCUCUAUCACCUCUUGUCUAAUAUUUAUCCAGCCCUUCCUUAUCUCUGUAUAUCUAGUCCAUUGCUUCUAUCACCUCUUCUGUCUAAUAUUUAUCCAGUCCUUCACUUCCUGCCUUUAGUUAGCAUACACUCCUCACCUCUUCUGCUGUCUAUAUUCACCCAGUCCUUCCAUCCACACACCACAGGAAUCUAAAUUAACACACAUUUUCCAAUAUUCUUCCUUUCAUUAACCCCUCACUGUAUUUCCAGAGUGAAUACUUUCCAGACCAUCCAGUCAUUUGUACUGUUUGGGAAUGGGAAGUCUUUAAUGAACUCUUGCUUGAACAGAAAAUGUUGCAAAAUUUCUCGCAGGGACUGACCAGGUUCCUCUCUUAGGCAUGGAGAGAGAGAGAGAGAGAGAGAGAGAGAGAGAGAGAGAGAGAGAGAGAGAGAGAGAGAGAGAGAGAGAGAGAGAGAGAGAGAGAGAGAGAGAGAGGGGUAUAUUUGUGAGAGGCUGUGGGGAGUGACUGGGUUUGUCAACAUACUGUGGGAGACAUACUGUGGGUCUGUGGAUUGUGGGAGAGAGAGAGAGAGAGAGAGAGAGAGAGAGAGAGAGAGAGAGAGAGAGAGAGAGAGAGAGAGAGAGAGAGAGAGAGAGAGAGAGAGAGAGAAAGGGGGGCAGGGGGGAGGAUUUAUUUUUCUUUUAUUUAUCUUUUCUAUCUUUCUCUCAUUUCUUCUUUUUUUCUUCCUCUUCUAUUAUCCUCAUUCUUCUCUCAUGUCCUCUUCCUUCUUUGUUGUCUUCUCUCUCUCUCUUUCUCUUUCUUCCCUCCUUAUUAUCAUCUAUCUUCUCCUCUUCCUUCUUUCUAUCACUUCUGGAAAAAACAAUGCAAAUAUAAAUAAUACAUUUUGAACAUAAUAAUAAUAAUGAUAAUUAAUUCUCACAAUCAGUAACUCUCUCUCUCUCUCUCUCUCUCUCUCUCUCUCUCUCUCUCUCUCUCUCUCUCUCUCUCUCUCUCUCUCUCUCUCUCUCUCUCCUUUAUUUCAUCCUUCUCAUGUCCCCCUCUUCUCUUCCUUCCUUCCUUUCUUAUAUUCUUCCUCCUCUUUUCUUUGUCUCUUCUGUCAGUCAUUCCUCUGAAAUAUGAAUAAAUUUAGAAUAAUAGUAAUAAAUUUAAUAGAAAUAAUUUCUUGUAUUCUCUCUCCUACACAUACGCAAAAUUCUCUCUUAAUAGAAAUAAUUUCUUGUAUUCUCUCUCCUACACACACACAAAAUUCUCUCUCUCUCUCUCUCUCUCUCUCUCUCUCUCUCUCUCUCUCUCUCUCUCUCUCUCUCUCUCUCUCUCUCUCUCUCUCUCUCUCUCUCUCUCUCUACAAAACCCCUUCUUUUACUCUCACAUACUUAAAAACUCCCUCCCACUACUCACUCAAACUGAUUCUCUUAGACACACACACACACACACACACCCAGGCUUCCAGGUUGAUAAUCCAAAAGCCAGCAGAUGACAGCUUCCUUCCAGCACACACUUGUAUCGCCCAACUUGACCUGCCUGAAUACAAGCUGAUACAGUCCAUGCAGCAGAGUAAAGUUUGAAUGAACCUUUUUUUGUUGUUAUAACUUGUGGUGUGGUCCAGCAGUCUUCCUUUUCCCACUUUUUAAGAGGGGAGAGAAAGAAUGGUGGAUGACACCACUUGUAAGGAAGACACAAGUUACUAUAGUUUAGAUGUACUAAAAGUUUUUGCACACUAAAUGUUUAUUACUGAAAAGCUUUAUAUAUAUAUAUAUAUAUAUAUAUAUAUAUAUAUAUAUAUAUAGAGAGAGAGAGAGAGAGAGAGAGAGAGAGAGAGAGAGAGAGAGAGAGAGAGAGAGAGAGAGAGAGAGAGUGUGGUCCCUCUUGUUUCAGUUUGGCAAUAGGUUUGAACUGGUACCAUCACCCAAACUGGCACAUCAGAUCCACUUUUGGUGCGCCACUCACUGACGUAACAGAAUGGUGUUGAUCCAGUUUGUCGUCCAUGUGCAUUGUUUGAUUUUUGUGAACCUCCCAACAGCCAUCUUACUGUUUUUUUGCUGCAAUUAACCACAUCUUUGGUGUUUGUCCCCAGGAGUGCAGCCUCUACAAGUGGUGGAGGGCAUGGACACUUGGAUAUGGAUGACACUGGUUUGGGUGCCAAAUAUUAAUAGUGCACCUACACAAUUACCACACUUGCUCCUCUCACCAGGCUUAACUAUAAAUAAUUAAAGGUAAAUAACAUCUGUCAUCUAUUAUCUAUUGUAUUCUAUAUUGCUGUUAAUGUUUCAUGUAUAAUGUCUUUGCUUUCAAAUGCAAGUCAAAAGGGUGAACCCCAUUUAUAGUACUAUUCACGUUUGGCAAAUUUCACUUUUGACAUUGGUUUGGCUACACUAAUUAAACUGCUAACAGUGAGGGACUACUGUAAAUGUAGUAAUAAUAAUAAUAAUAAUAAUAAUAAUAAUAAUAAUAAUAAUAAUAAUAAUAAAAAGUAAUGAUAAAGUGCAAGACAUGUUCAUUAACGCAAUUAUUUUCUCCAACAUGGAGGAGUGAGUGAGGAGGCACAUCUGUCUGUGAUUAGGGAAUGCAAAUGACGAUGUUCCAAGGACGUCACCCUGUCCUGGGCCAUGACAUGAGAGAAGAGGGAAAAAGGACUCUCUCUCUCUCUCUCUCUCUCUCUCUCUCUCUCUCUCUCUCUCUCUCUCUCUCUCUCUCUCUCUCUCUCUCUCUCUCUCUC